rnacentral:lncRNA from 1 species
AAAUAACUUUAUUUUAAACGUUAUUUCAACAUAUUUUAACGAAGCCCUAUGAAUUAUGAAAAUAGCCUUCUGAUAAUACUAAUAAUAUGCCUGAAUAAGACCUUGUAACUUGUUGCUUGCUAAACAACUUGUUUUCAGAUGCUUCACAAUUGAUAUUUGAUAUAGGUGAAGCAGAAAUCAUCUCAAGGAAAUAGCACUGAACAGUAAUGCCCUGAAACACAGCAUUUGUUGUCUCCAAGCCACUGUUAAGUAUGCUUUCUGGCCCCCAGAUCUGCACCUGACCUUUACCACCUCCUCAUCAUCCACUCUGUCUGCACCCUCUUGACCGUGUCUGAGUCUCCUUUGGGGCUGGAUGUCUGCUUCAGCAUUAGGAAAUGGACACAUCUACAGAAUCUCUCAUGGCAACACACCAAGUAAUUUUCUGGGCAAUUUUAUACUUUUAUAAGAAUGAAAGAUGUUUUGAUUCCAAAACAUUCUGUCCUGUUCUCUAAUCAUUUUAGUCUUUUAAAGCAUAUUGUCUUGGAAUGGUUAAGAUGUUUUGCUCAUCAAUUUCUUUGUAGCCCAACAAUUUAUAACAGUAUUUCUAAAUUUCCAGAAAAAUGCUAUUGCGUUCUUUCUUUUCUGCAGUUCCUCACCAUUGUCACAGAGCCUGUGUUAGGGAAUUUAGUCAGAGAUUGUCACACAGGAUUUACUUUAGAAGCACCUGGGAAACUUUCAAAAAUUCCAGAGGCCUGGUAUCACUCCCAGAAAUAUGAUAUAAUUGGUCAGCACAGACUUAGACAUCAAUAAUUUUUAAAGAUCCC